GAUGAAGAACGCAGCGAAAUGCGAUACGUAAUGUGAAUUGCAGAAUUCAGUGAAUCAUCGAAUCUUUGAACGCAUAUUGCGCUCUCUGGUAUUCCGGAGAGCAUGCUUGUUUGAGUAUCAGUAAACACCUCAACUUCCAUAUCUUUUUUGAAAUGGGAGUUGGACUUGAGUGAUCCCAACGCUUUUCCUCACCGAAAAGUGGCGGGUUACUUGAAAUGCAGGUGCAGCUGGACUUUUCUCUGAGCUAUAAGCAUAUCUAUUUAGUCUGCCUAAAAAACAGAUUAUUACCUUUGCUGCAGCUAACAUAAAGGAGAUUAGUUCUUGUGCUGACUGAUGCAGGAUUCACAAAGACAGGCUUCGGCCGACUUUGUAAACUCGAUCUCAAAUCAAGUAAGACUACCCGCUGAACUUAAGCAUAUCAAUAAGGAGGA
rnacentral:misc_RNA from 1 species